rnacentral:rRNA from 1 species
UAUAAGUAUAAACGCAUCAGCGUGAAACUGCGUACGGCUCAUUACAACAGCAGUAAUUUACUUGAUCUUGACAACCUACAUGGAUAACUGCGGUAAUUCUGGAGCUAAUACAUGCACCAAAGCUCCAACCCGAGAGGGGAGAGCGCAUUUAUUAGAACAAAACCAAACGGCUUCGGCCGUCCGUUGUUGACUCAGAAUAACUAAGCUGAUCGCAUGGUCUUGUACCGGCGACGUGUCUUUCAAGCUUCUGCCUUAUCAACUUUCGAUGGUAGUGUAUGUGCCUACCAUGGUGGUUACGGGUAACGGAGGAUCAGGGUUCGACUCCGGAGAAGGGGCCUGAGAAAUGGCCACUACGUCUAAGGAUGGCAGCAGGCGCGCAAAUUACCCACUCUCGAUUUGAGGAGGUAGUGACGAGAAAUAACGAGAUU